rnacentral:rRNA from 1 species
UACUACUUGGAUAACCGUGGUAAUUCUAGAGCUAAUACAUGCUAAAAAUCCCGACUUCGGAAGGGAUGUAUUUAUUAGAUUAAAAACCAAUGCCCUUCGGGGCUCACUGGUGAUUCAUGAUAACUCCUCGAAUCGCAUGGCCUUGUGCCGGCGAUGGUUCAUUCAAAUUUCUUCCCUAUCAACUUUCGAUGUUUGGGUAUUGGCCAAACAUGGUUGCAACGGGUAACGGAGGGUUAGGGCUCGACCCCGGAGAAGGAGCCUGAGAAACGGCUACUACAUCCAAGGAAGGCAGCAGGCGCGCAAAUUACCCAAUCCCGACACGGGGAGGUAGUGACAAUAAAUACUGAUACAGGGCUCUUUUGGGUCUUGUAAUUGGAAUGAGUACAAUUUAAAUCCCUUAACGAGGAACAAUUGGAGGGCAAGUCUGGUGCCAGCAGCCGCGGUAAUUCCAGCUCCAAUAGCGUAUAUUAAAGUUGUUGUGGUUAAAAAGCUCGUAGUUGAACCUUGGGCCUGGCUGGCCGGUCCGCCUCACCGCGUGUACUGGUCCGGCCGGGCCUUUCCCUCUGUGGAACCCCAUGCCCUUCACUGGGUGUGGUGGGGAAACAGGACUUUUACUGUGAAAAAAUUAGAGUGCUCCAGGCAGGCCUAUGCUCGAAUACAUUAGCAUGGAAUAAUAGAAUAGGACGUGUGGUUCUAUUUUGUUGGUUUCUAGGACCGCCG